GGUGUACCAAAAAUAGAUAAAUUCCUGGAUAUUUCUCAAAAACCUGAAAGGAGGUGUGAUUUUCUUCCAUUCUACACAGCACUUCUACACAAAGCUCACUGACUUUCUCAUGCAGCAGCAGAUAUGGGUAUUUCAGCACUUCUAGAAGUGGCACUCUCAGGUUAUUCUCAAAAUCUGGUCCAACAUAAACAGGCAGCUGUGUCUCUCCAUUCUCAUCCACUAUAAACAACUCAUCAUCUUCUCCAGCUUCUUCUCUUAUGGAUUUUUCAAUGUGGGCUACGAGACGGGAUGUUUCCAAUUCCAAUAAAACCUAUUCAGUGUGGGAGAUAGAAAAAAAAUCAAAUUAAAAAGAUUAUAUUACUUUUGCAAAGCAAAUCAUUCAGAAUACUACUACAAGCAGAAACUCUGACCAGAUUUUCAAAACUUGGAAUUUCAU
rnacentral:lncRNA from 1 species